UACGUAGGGUGCGAGCGUUGUCCGGAAUUAUUGGGCGUAAAGAGCUCGUAGGCGGUUUGUCGCGUCUGCCGUGAAAGUCCGGGGCUCAACUCCGGAUCUGCGGUGGGUACGGGCAGACUAGAGUGAUGUAGGGGAGACUGGAAUUCCUGGUGUAGCGGUGAAAUGCGCAGAUAUCAGGAGGAACACCAAUGGCGAAGGCAGCACUCUGGGACGUGACUGACGCUGAGACGCGAAAGCGUGGGGAGCAAACAGG
rnacentral:rRNA from 1 species